UACGUAGGGGGCGAGCGUUGUCCGGAAUCAUUGGGCGUAAAGCGCGUGUAGGCGGCCCGGAAAGUCUGGUGUGAAAUCUUGAGGCUCAACCUUAAGCUGUCACUGGAUACUGUCGGGCUUGAGUCCGGAAGAGGAGAGUGGAAUUCCUGGUGUAGCGGUGGAAUGCGCAGAUAUCGGGAAGAACACCAGUGGCGAAAGCGCUCUACUGGGCCAUAACUGACACUGAGGGACGAAAGCUAGGGGAGCGAACGGG
rnacentral:rRNA from 1 species